AUUGAACGCUGGCGGCAUGCCUAACACAUGCAAGUCGAACGCGUCGCAGACGGGUGUGUAAUGUCUGUGCAACUGCCUUAUGGAGGGGGUUAACUACUGGAACCGGUACCUAAUCCCGCAUACCAUCGGCUGUGCCCUGAUGGGAUUAGCUAGUAGGUGGGGUAAAGGCUCACCUAGGCGACGAUCCCCAGCUGAUCUGAGAGGAUGACCGGCCACACUGGAACGGAGACACGGUCCAGACUCCUACGUGAGGCAGCAGUGGGGAAUAGUGCACAAUGGGCGAAAGCCUGAUGGAGCAAUGCCGCGUGAAUGAUGAAGGCCUUCGGGUUGUAAAGCUCUGUUGGUAGAGAAGCGGUACCUGAAGAAUAAGCACAGGCUAACUACGUGCCAGCAGCCGCGGUAAUAC
rnacentral:rRNA from 1 species